rnacentral:rRNA from 1 species
GACGAACGCUGGCGGCGUGCUUAACACAUGCAAGUCGAACGGAAAGGCCCUUCGGGGUACUCGAGUGGCGAACGGGUGAGUAACACGUGGGUGAUCUGCCCUGCACUUUGGGAUAAGCCUGGGAAACUGGGUCUAAUACCGAAUAUGAUCAUCGGCUUCAUGGUCGGUGGUGGAAAGCUUUUGCGGUGUGGGAUGGGCCCUCGGCCUAUCAGCUUGUUGGUGGGGUAAUGGCCUACCAAGGCGACGACGGGUAGCCGGCCUGAGAGGGUGACCGGCCACACUGGGACUGAGAUACGGCCCAGACUCCUACGGGAGGCAGCAGUGGGGAAUAUUGCACAAUGGGCGCAAGCCUGAUGCAGCGACGCCGCGUGAGGGAUGACGGCCUUCGGGUUGUAAACCUCUUUCAGCACAGACGAAGCGCAAGUGACGGUAUGUGCAGAAGAAGGACCGGCCAACUACGUG